rnacentral:rRNA from 1 species
GACGAACGCUGGCGGCGUGCUUAACACAUGCAAGUCGAGCGGUAAGGCCCUUUCGGGGGUACACGAGCGGCGAACGGGUGAGUAACACGUGGGUGACCUGCCCUCAGCUCUGGGAUAAGCCUGGGAAACCGGGUCUAAUACUGGAUAUGACUCCAUGACGCAUGUUGGUGGGGUGGAAAGCCUUGUGCGGCUGAGGAUGGGCCCGCGCCUAUCAGCUUGUUGGUGGGGUGAGGCCUACCAAGGCGACGACGGGUAGCCGGCCUGAGAGGGCGACCGGCCACACUGGGACUGAGACACGGCCCAGACUCCUACGGGAGGCAGCAGGUGGGGAAUCUUGCGCAAUGGGCGAAAGCCUGACGCAGCGACGCCGCGUGAGGGAU